GACGAACGCUGGCGGCGUGCCUAACACAUGCAAGUCGAGCGAAGUGCUUUGAGUGGAACCCUUCGGGGUGAAACUUGAAGCACUUAGCGGCGGACGGGUGAGUAACGCGUGAGGAACCUACCUCCCACAAGGGGAUAGCCUCGGGAAACCGGGAUUAAUACCCUAUGACACUUAGGUGUCGCAUGACACCUAGGUUAAAGCGCUUUAGCGGUGGGAGAUGGCCUCACGUCCCAUUAGCUAGUUGGUGAGGUAACGGCUCACCAAGGCGACGAUGGGUAGCCGGCCUGAGAGGGUGACCGGCCACACUGGGACUGAGACACGGCCCAGACUCCUACGGGAGGCAGCAGUGGGGAAUAUUGCACAAUGGGCGAAAGCCUGAUGCAGCGACGCCGCGUGAGCGAAGAAGGCCUUCGGGUCGUAAAGCUCUGUCCUAUGGGACGAUAAUGACGGUACCAUAGGAGGAAGCCCCGGCUAACUAC
rnacentral:rRNA from 1 species